rnacentral:tRNA from 2 species
CUGGAUCACCUCCUUAAAGGGAGACCUAAUUCGGGUAGGAGACGAAAAAAAAGUAGUCGCUACCAAGAAUCAAUCCCAAAAGGUCGGAGCGAGGCGAAAUUGGCUUUCAAACUAGGUUCUGGGUUCACACAAGACCUGAAUCAGGAACAAGGGCUAUUAGCUCAGGUGGUUAGAGCGCACCCCUGAUAAGGGUGAGGUCCCUGGUUCGAGUCCAGGAUGGCCCACCUGUACAGGUGGCCAAAACCAAGAAAAGAAGCGAGGAAUCAGCACCUGCUCUUACCUACAUAGUAAGAGAGAAUGCUGGCUCUGAGUACAGAGUCCAGAGGAACCUUGAAAACUGCAUAGAGCUAGGUGAAAAAGCCAAAAAAGAAGACCGCAAGGUC